rnacentral:misc_RNA from 1 species
GAUGAAGAACGUAGCGAAAUGCGAUACGUAAUGUGAAUUGCAGAAUUCAGUGAAUCAUCGAGUCUUUGAACGCACAUUGCGCCCUGUGGUAUUCCGCAGGGCAUGCCUGUUCGAGCGUCAUUUCAACCCUCAAGCCCCGCUUGGUGUUGGGCCCCGCCCGCCGUGGCCGGCCCUAAAGACAGUGGCGGCGCCGCCUGGCCCUCAGCGUAGUACAGCUCUCGCUCCAGGGUCCGGCGGCCGCCUGCCAGAACCCCCCAACUCUGUGGUUGACCUCGGAUCAGGUAGGGAUACCCGCUGAACUUAAGCAUAUCAAUAAGCGGAGGA